GCUCGAGGAGGGGCACGGGCUGGAGUGACUUUAGGAGGAGGGACUGGAGCCUCGGAAACCGAGGUGAGGACUAGAGGGGCAGUGCACCGACCCCCGGGGUAGAACGGAAGAGAUGGGUCGGAGGGAGGCAACUGGAACCUGGGCUCGUGGGCCUGAUGGAGGAGGGCUGGUAUUUGGAUAUCUUGGUCUGAGAGAGAAGGAACAAAGCCUGGACCCGAGUCUGAGGGAGAAAAGUGAAAGCUUGAAUCCCCGAGUCCGAGGGAAGUGAGUUGGGGUUUGAAUACCUCAUCUGAACCCCUGGAUUUAAGGGAGGAGCUCUGAUUUAGACUUCGGAGUUGGAGGGUGGAGGUUGAAUCUGAAGAAGGACUGGGGUGUUCUGCAGGGUCUGAAGAAGCAGGGGGCUGGAAUUAAGUUCUCUGUCCUUAAUGAAGGAUGGGCUUGAAACUGAAUUUUGUGAAAAUUGGGAAAGGCGGUGUUCUGGUUGGGGACUUUGAGGGCGGGUCAGGAACCAGCCCGGGGCAUCUGGGUAGGCAGGUUAGGGUGGCGCUGUAACCUGGUUUCCCCUUCCUCCCAGGGCGGCGGGACCAGCCCUGGCUGAAGUCCCAAGGUGCUGCAAUAAGCUUGUUGUUAAGGUUGCAGAGGUUCGGCCGGAGCAGGUUCGUUCAUUUACCCUUUCCUCCCAACCUGUGCGCACCCUGUAUCCCACAUUACAGGCGACAGGAAGUGAUCGUUCCUAUGGUUUAUUCUGAUUCACCUGGGGGCUCUAGAGAGAUCAAUGCUCCCAUCAUCCUAUGUCAAGAGUCAGACCCAAAACACACUCGGAGCAGAACCCAGAGCUGUUUGAGGUCCACGUGCGCAGAAUAGGCGCAGUCCUAGCGUGACUAGGAGUGGGGACAAAUGGGAUGGAGUCCAGAGAAGAAAUCCUAUUGGGUGAAAUAUGAAGGGUUGCAGCAGCUAUUUAGGGAAAGAUAUUUCUUGGCGGUGAUCCUGAGGGUUGGGCUAUUCCAGAGAAUGGUGAUUAAAAUGGUGUAGCAUGGGCCAGGAGCAAAGGAGGUGUGUCUCAGUUGGUUUUUUUUUUUUUUUUGAAGGGGCGUGGUUUUAUUAUAAUUGUUUUGCCUGGGAGCAGACCCCAAGAGGGAAGAUGACCUAAGUGGGAGGAGUCUUCGGGGGAGACUAAGGAGUGAAGUCUGAGGGUCCGAAGUCUGAGAGGGCGGAGUUUCAUCAUGGGGCGUGCGGGGGUGCUUUGACACGCAUCAGAGAAGCUGGGGCUCUGGAAUCCUGCAGCAUCCUCUCAUUCUACAUCCGUCUUCCUCUCCAGUCUGUCCAUCUUAGCAUGAACUCAGUUUUUUUCCAUGGUGCUUUCAAUCCACUCCAGGUAGUCAAAGACGUUAGUGUAGACAGCGGGUCUCCGGGGUCUGGAACAAGGCUCAGAUCCUCCAGACACUAUACCUGCCAAGGUUCCUUCGCACACCAGGGGUCCCCCAGAGUCACCCUGUGCAUGGUGAAGAACAGAGCUGUUAGCUGGGUCUAUUCAUGAGAAUCAUCGGAAGCUUCCUCCUGAGAAAGCCUCUGCCAUUCAUCACCCAGGAGGGCCUGGUCUGUAGUCUCUCCUCCCUCAUUUCCAUGAAUAAAAACUCACAGAUCUCAUCUCCCAUCCCACCAUGUAGCAUCCUGGGCUCCCAGAACCUCCUAGUACUCAGCCUGGAUCCCUAGGUCCUGGAGUCUGUGGUUCCAGCCAUCUCCUACCCCGAGGUCUAGAAAAGUGCUUCCACCCUCCUGCAGGGGAUGGCUCACCUGGCAAGAGCCUCGGCCACCCUCCCACAGGCCAGCGCACAGCAUCUUCUCAGAGAUGUGGCCCGGGUAUGCCCAGCGGCAGAGCUUGUUGUCCAGAAUGCUAAUGUUGGCACACUGCAGUGUCAUUGGAUACUGUACUGUUGGGGGAGAAGGAUGGAGGAUGUUCUCAGAAUCUGAGGCAGCACCCCUAAGAAUCUUCCCUGACGCUGUUCCAUCCUUGGGACUCCCACGGAGUCAUGAGGCUGAGACUCAGAAAUGAGAUCCCAGACAGUCAACCCAGGGCUGGAGAAUAGAUGGCUAAGGGGGAGAGAAGGCCAAAGGGAGAGAGAGAGGGGGGGGGGAAGUGAAACAGGAAGGUCUGUCUGUCUGUCUGUCUGUCACAGGAGUGGGGUGAAUAAAGACCAGGGAGGGAGAUAAACAUCCCUGAAGCGAAACCCACUGCCAGAGGCAAAUUACAAGGCGGCCAUGCAGAGAAAAGGGUUGAGAGAUGUUAUCAGAAACCAGACAACACAGUUCGGGGCACAUGGUCUCUUGUUGCAGACAGAAAUGUAGACUCUACUGCUACUCUGGGGGUAACCUGUAUUAUUGAUUCUGCCAAGUAGAUGCUAUUUUGAGUGUGAGCACAUUUUUGCCCAUAUAUAUGUAUAUGUGUAUAAUGCUGUAUAGAUUAGGUUGGCUUCAAAUUCCUAGAGAUCUGUCUGCCCCUACCUCCCAAAUGUGGGGAUUAAAACCCACCACAUUAAACCCACCACCACA
rnacentral:lncRNA from 1 species